rnacentral:lncRNA from 10 species
CGCGGAUCAGACCAUGCUCCUUCCACAUUGAAAGCCUGUGCUCACACUUUGAAUAUGUUGACUGAAAGACCUUCAUGAGCCGGACACGCUCCUUGGUGUUACACUUGCAGGAGUUGCCGAUGGAGGCCUGCAGUACUCUCGGAGUUGUUGGCAGCUUUAAAGGUUCUGGAGGCUACCUACAUUCCUUGACUCAUGGCCAUGCAUAAAUCUCACCUUUGUUUCUGCUGUUCCAUCUCCUUCUUCAACUGACCUUUCUGCCUCCCUCUUAUAACGACUCUCAUGGUUACAUUGGGCCCACCCAGAUCG